UAAAAUCCUGUCAGAUGGAAAGAAAUGCUACGUACCUAAUACGUAUGUAGUUUGACGGUACCAUCAAAGGAAGCACCGGCUAACUCCGUGCCAGCAGCCGCGGUAAUACGGAGGGUGCAAGCGUUGUUCGGAAUUACUGGGCGUAAAGCGCGCGUAGGUGGUGAUAUAAGUCAGAUGUGAAAGUCCACGGCUCAACCGUGGAAGUGCAUUUGAAACUGUAUGACUUGAGUACUGGAGGGGGUAGUGGAAUUCCCGGUGUAGAGGUGAAAUUCGUAGAUAUCGGGAGGAAUACCGGUGGCGAAGGCGACUAUCUGGCCAGAUACUGACACUGAGGUGCGAAAGCGUGGGAGCAAACAGGAUUAGAUACCCUGGUAGUCCACGCCGUAAACGAUGUCAACUGGGUGUUGGGAUGGGUAAUCAUCUCAUUGCCGCAGCUAACGCAUUAAGUUG
rnacentral:rRNA from 1 species